UGUGUUUUAUUGAGGUAUUCGAUGUAUAACGACCACAUUUUGUACCUAUAUAUAAUAAAUGAAUGGUCCGAUAUUUUUAUUCAUGAUAUCAUUUUGAAAGUGUUAUUAAAAAAAACUCCACUAAAGGAAUUUUCAAAAUAUUAAUUAUGGUCCAACUAAUUAUACCUUGAAUUUUGCAUUGAAGUCUAUGGGCAACGUAUGUUUUAAUAAGAUAUUGUAAAGAUAUUGUAUAAAGUAACUUUAAAGUAAAAAAAAAUAACUCUCUUGGUAAGUACAUGCAUAAACUUUCUCUUUAUUAAAAUAUUAAAUAAAAUGAAUCAUUUACCGCAGAUAUUUUGACGAAAUUAGAAUUUGUUCAACAUUUUUUUGUCAUUUGGUAUCAGGCAUUAUGGAGACAUUAUUUAAUGGAAUUAUAUUGAUAUAGGCUGUAUAUUACAUGUAUAAAUAUCUUAUAUUUUGUAUGAAUUGUUAAUAAAACAAUGUUAAUUGAU
rnacentral:sRNA from 1 species